rnacentral:rRNA from 1 species
UACGGAGGGUGCAAGCGUUAUCCGGAUUCACUGGGUUUAAAGGGUGCGUAGGUGGGUCUGUAAGUCUGUGGUGAAAUCUCUGAGCUUAACUCGGAAACUGCCAUGGAUACUAUAGAUCUUGAAUACCGUGGAGGAUAGCGGAAUAUGUCAUGUAGCGGUGAAAUGCUUAGAUAUGACAUAGAGCACCAAUUGCGAAGGCAGCUGUCUACCCGAAUAUUGACACUGAGGCACGAAAGCGUGGGGAUCAAACAGG